GUCUGUUUGUUGUGUUCACACAGUGUUGUCAAUGUAAAGGAAUUUUAAGUGACUGAGUUUUAUAUUGCUGUUUUGUCAUUUGAGUUCGAUAUUUUUGAUAUUUUACUUUUUACUAAUUCUAACAUUUUGACACAUGAAUUUUGUAAUUACAAUUUCGCUUUGGUUUUUUUUCAAACCUUAUGAUCCACAUUCAGACACAACAGAGUCAGUGAUCAAG
rnacentral:lncRNA from 1 species